CCACAUUUAGCAUAACAUUAAUUAGCUCAUAAUCUUCCAAGCUUACUCUUUCUGCUAAGCUAUGGCUAUCAGUAGCUUGGCCUCGACGAGCUCGAACAUGAACAUAUGGUAACUUCUCGUCUUCCGAGUCAAAAGAGAAAUGUAUCCCCAAUUCAGUCAUUCUCUCACAUCUGGUCUCUCUCUCUCUCCCCUCCGUUUCCACUCUCUCUCACUCCGGCAAGAAAUCGUCGCGCUUUUCCGGUGUAUUUCCGGCCAGAUUAGUCGCCGGAGACUCAGAUCUGACCAAAAGUACACUUAGAUCAACCACCACCAGUCAACUCUCCUGGCUUUCAAGCUCCGGCACCAUCAGAACCGAGUGACGAAUAGGAGAGUAGUAGUAGUGUUGUUGUGGCGGAUGGCGGCGGAGAUACAUCGAGAUGGGAGGAAGAGGACGAGGGUUGUUGGUGGCGGUGGUGAGAGUGACAGUGGCUCAGAUCUGCCCGAUGCCUCCACCUCUUCCUCCUCCACGUCGCCGGUGGUGGGAGUGACGGUGCUGGAAAUACAGUUUAUUAUCCAGUUCUCAUCGGAAAAUACACUUUAUUGUGCAGAUCAUCCGGAAAAUACACUUUAUUCGCCUGUAUUUCGAAGAAAAUUUUUUUGUAUACAAAUGAAUACAGUGAAUUCGAAGUGUAUUUUAUGUCCUGUAUCUCAAAUUCGAGUGUAUUUUAUUUCUUUUUGGGGUAUAUUUUAUUUCUUGUAUUCA